AUUGAACGCUGGCGGCAUGCCUUACACAUGCAAGUCGAACGGUAACAGGUUAAGCUGACGAGUGGCGAACGGGUGAGUAAUGUAUCGGAACGUGCCCAGUCGUGGGGGAUAACUGCUCGAAAGAGCAGCUAAUACCGCAUACGACCUGAGGGUGAAAGCGGGGGAUCGCAAGACCUCGCGCGAUUGGAGCGGCCGAUAUCAGAUUAGGUAGUUGGUAGGGUAAAGGCCUACCAAGCCGACGAUCUGUAGCUGGUCUGCGAGGACGACCAGCCACACUGGGACUGAGACACGGCCCAGACUCCUACGGGAGGCAGCAGUGGGGAAUUUUGGACAAUGGACGCAAGUCUGAUCCAGCCAUGCCGCGUGCAGGAAGAAGGCCUUCGGGUUGUAAACCGCUUUUGUCAGGGAAGAAACGCUCUGGGUUAAUACCUCGGGGUAAUGACGGUACCUGAAGAAUAAGCACCGGCUAACUACGUGCCAGCAGCCGCCGUAA
rnacentral:rRNA from 1 species